ACGAACGCUGGCGGCGCGCUACACAUGCAAGUCGAACGAGCGAGAGAGAGCUUGCUUUCUCAAGCGAGUGGCGAACGGGUGAGUAACGCGUGAGGAACCUGCCUCAAAGAGGGGGACAACAGUUGGAAACGACUGCUAAUACCGCAUAAGCCCACGACCCGGCAUCGGGUAGAGGGAAAAGGAGCAAUCCGCUUUGAGAUGGCCUCGCGUCCGAUUAGCUAGUUGGUGAGGUAACGGCCCACCAAGGCGACGAUCGGUGGCCGGACUGAGAGGUUGAACGGCCACAUUGGGACUGAGACACGGCCCAGACUCCUACGGGAGGCAGCAGUGGGGAAUAUUGCACAAUGGGGGAAACCCUGAUGCAGCGACGCCGCGUGGAGGAAGAAGGUCUUCGGAUUGUAAACUCCUGUUGUUGAGGAAGAUAAUGACGGUACUCAACAAGGAAGUGACGGCUAACUACGUGCCAGCAGCCGCGGUAAAACGUAGGUCACAAGCGUUGUCCGGAAUUACUGGGUGUAAAGGGAGCGCAGGCGGGAAGACAAGUUGGAAGUGAAAUCCAUGGGCUCAACCCAUGAACUGCUUUCAAAACUGUUUUUCUUGAGUAGUGCAGAGGUAGGCGGAAUUCCCGGUGUAGCGGUGGAAUGCGUAGAUAUCGGGAGGAACACCAGUGGCGAAGGCGGCCUACUGGGCACCAACUGACGCUGAGGCUGAAAGUGUGG
rnacentral:rRNA from 1 species